rnacentral:rRNA from 1 species
UUGGAGGGCAAGUCUGGUGCCAGCAGCCGCGGUAAUUCCAGCUCCAAUAGCGUAUAUUAAAGUUGUUGCAGUUAAAAAGCUCGUAGUUGAACUUCGGGGUCUACCCAUUGGUCAGGCUUAAUUGUCUGCACUGGUGAGAUGGAUCUCUACCUUCUGAGGAACUUUCAUGCCAUUUAUUUGGUGUGAUGGGAAAUCAGGACUGUUACUUUGAAAAAAUUAGAGUGUUCAAAGCAGGCAAUCGCUUGGAUACAUUAGCAUGGAAUAAUGGAAUAGGACAAUGGUUCUAUUUGUUGGUUUCUAGGACCGUUGUAAUGAUUAAUAGGGAUAGUUGGGGGCAUUAGUAUUCAAUUGUCAGAGGUGAAAUUCUUGGAUUUAUUGAAGACUAACUACUGCGAAAGCAUUUGCCAAGGAUGUUUUCAUUAAUCAAGAACGAAAGUUAGGGGAUCGAAGACGAUCAGAUACCGUCGUAGUCUUAACCAUAAACUAUGCCGACUAGGGAUCGGACGAAGUUAAUUUUAUAAUGACGCGUUCGGCGCCUUACGGGAAAC